rnacentral:RNase_P_RNA from 1 species
CUACAAACCCGUGCUGCCGCUGCUCCUGUACAGGAGUGGAGGAAAGUCCGGACAGCACAGAGCAACGCACCACCUAACGGGUGGGAUCCCGGGCAACCGGGAUACAGAUAGCGCCACAGAAAAUAACCGCCGUAAAAGGUAAGGGUGAAAAUGUACGGUAAGAGCGUACGUUCUGUAGUGGUAACACUAUGGGAGGGCAAGCCUUGCGUGAUGAAAUGCCCAAUAGGCAAGCGAUUGAGGGCUGCUCGUCCGAUGCUUGCGGGUAGGCAGAUAGAGUGUUGCAGCGAUGUAACGCCCAGAUAAAUGGCAGCAGUCCUGCAGCAAUGCAGGAAUACAAAAUCCGGCUUACAGGGUUUGUAGUUUU